CUUUUCACCACUUAAAUCAGUUAGUUGAAGUGGUUAUUCUGAAAAUCAGACAAAGAAACCUCUUGUCUGUACAAUGGGGAAACCAGUGACCAAACAGAACAGAAGAUUUAAGUGAGACUUGGGGGCUUAAUUGUUAAUAUCAUGUAACAAUAUUGCUAUUCUAGAGAUUGAUGGUGUCCUGGAAAAUGAGAGCUUUCCAAAGAGAUCUAAAGAACAGCUAAUAGAUGCUUUUCAAGCACAGACUAAGGCAACUGGGGAAAUACCAGGAAGCUCCUUUACUCUCCUUUUCCUGAUUCCUAUUCCUGUGACCGAAGGCAUGACUGGAAAAGAAUGCAACCAUGCCUUGAGAGCUGGAAGAAAGGGGCAGCCUUGAAGACAAUACUCUGUGGACAGAUCCCUGAGCUUUCCUGCAGUUGUGUAGGAAGAGGGCAUCAGUGGCUUCACUUGGUUUAACAGUCACAGCCUUAGACAAGAAACAAAUGUAAAAAUACGGAAGACAGGCACACGUAGACCAAGAGAAGGAGAGAGAAACAGCCCCUUGCUUCACUUGAUCCACAUCUGGUGUUAGAAGGCUUCAGACAACAAAGACACAAUUCUCAAUCUAGGUUCUUGAUGCAUGCCUUUUAAGACUAGUUAAAGCCCAACAGUUUACCCUGGUUUUGCAUUUCUGCUUCUUAGUAUGGUAAAGGCAUCUGCCCAUGUCAGUAGUUCCGGAGGAUGAUUUCUUCAAGUUCUGUAAUUGUAUUGCCGUGAGAGAUGAAGAAGGAACAUACAUCAAAGAUGUCUGUGAAGGGCACAUGUGGUGAUAAAGCAAAAUAAAAUUGUCUACUGUUCACGUA
ensembl:lncRNA